AUGGACUCGUUUCUUCUUCCUUGUGGGAUUUCAGGCAAGAUGACCAUACCCUCGAAAUCACUUCUAUCUUUGCUUGCUAGUUGCUCGUUCUUUUGCUAUGCCUAUGCUGCGAUACCUACCACUUGCUUAUCAUGCCUCCCAUAUUGUAGAACCAAGCCUCUAACCCACCUUGUCCUAGCAAACCGUUGUUUGGCUAUGUUACCGCUUUGCUCAGCCCCUCUUAUAGCGUUGCUAGUUGCAGGUGAAGAUUGGAGAUCGUUCUUUGUUGGAACAUUGUUUAUUGUUGGGAUAUCAUUAUAUUAUCUUGUUAUCUUAAUGCAUCUAUAUACUUGGUAA
rnacentral:rRNA from 1 species